rnacentral:lncRNA from 1 species
GCUCUCCAGGCUGGGGCCUGGCAUUUCACAGCGCUAGCGCCGUGACUUAUGGACCACAAGAAGCUGUGAUUUAUACAACGUGAGGCAGAGCUCCUGGGCUCGUGACUUCCCUUCUGUGAUGAAGUGAAGUGCCUUGCAGAAGCAGCAGCCGCUUAGCUGAUGCGAGGGGACUCCGAGGCCCAUCCAUCUCCCUCUCUCCCCAUGAGGCUGGGCAGCGUUUUGCUGAAGUGGCUGAACACAAGUGCAUCUGUUACUGUCUCCAGAAACCAUCAAAGAGCUGAACUUGUCCCUGAGAGGCAGCUCAGAGGGCAGGAAGGGGAGACCCACCCAGGCCAGCUGAGGCAGCUUCAGGACGCUCAGGGGGAAGCACUUGGUACCACGCCUGGCACAGGGAGGAGGCUCAGGAGCAAGCUUCUCUCUCCUGGAGCGACGGCCCGGAGUGCAAACAUACCCACCUCCAGUGGGUGCCAGCCCAAGUGUGAGCUUUAUUGGCUCAUUAGCCCGCACGGCAUCAGCCUGGUUUUACAGAUGAGAAAAGUGAGGGUCAGGAAUGUGAAAUGGCCCGCCCAAGGCACACUCCCUAAGUGGCAGAACCACGCGGAAAGCACAGCCCUGACUCCACCCCGGUCUGUUCAGCGCUGGCCCCACCGGCAGAGAAGCAAGCUGGUGCUAAUAAUUCCACCCCACGUGGAACCGGCGCCCAGAAGCCCCGCUGGAUCUUUGCCGCCUCGUCUUUUGGUGAUAGUUGUUGUCAGGGCUUCCCUUUAGGUGGGCGAAAAUAUCUGUUUACUCAGGAAUGGAGCAAUUUCCCAGGCGAGUCUCUAACUAGCUAAAUGCCUGGUCCUGCCUCCGUCGCAGGGAAGCCGCCCACUGUGAAACACGAGCCACUCAGCAGGGAAAUGUUUAAGCGGCACCCGCACCCGCUGCACACCGGGAGCAGCGGGGCGGGGGCGGGGGCGUUCCCGGUGAUUCCACACCCCGGCCCAGCAUGGUGCCUGUCCCAGAAGCCAGGCCACACCCAGUGAGGCGGAACAGGGCUGGCGGAGGGCUGGACCCUGGACCACUGUGCAGGCUGUCCCUGCACUGAGUCAGCCGGGUUUAAAUGGACGAGGUCGUGGUCCACUCGGUCCAGGGUAGGUCAACAGGGCACCCACACCCUCUCAGCCAUGCAGGGGACCCUGGGGGAAGAAGGCUGGAUUGGACCGUGGUCUCAGGCAGGGGCGUGGUCUGGCCCCUUCAUCCUGGGCGUGCAGGGCUGUUCCAUGGGGAUCGUCGCAGAGUAGAGUGCACAGUGCCGGUGUGAGCCCACAGGGACAGCAUGGAGGAGGGGGAGGAGUAGGUCCCCCCUCAGCCUUUGCCCCCACCAAUGCUGACAACGGUGGGGCCAGCAGGGCUUCGGCCCUGGCUGGUGGGGCACUGUGGGGUGGGCUCUUCCAGUGUGGAGAUGACCUUGGGCAGGGGCUGCAGGUUCCAUUCACCCUGCAAGGAAGGGGGCAGGAGGUAAACUGAGGCUGGAGGGGCAAGAUGGGUGGCUGCUUCCCCAGCCACUUCCCAGCCACCUCUUGGAUUCUUGCCCUCAAACUCAGCUUGUCUCAAACUGAACUCACUCUGCUCCCCCAAGUUGCUUUUUGGGGGUCCUCACCUCAGUAAAUGCCCCCUCCCCUGGCUUCCCAUUCACCUAGUCAGGAACCUGGGAGUCAUCCAGGCCUCUCCCCGCCUCUGUCCCCACCCAAUUUAAUCAUUCACCCUAGUGUAGCAACCAGAGCCCCUGGCUGCAGGCUCUGAUAUUUUUUAGCUAUCUCUUCCCCUCAAGGCUACACCAAAUGCCAAGUUUUCAACCCCAUCAGACGUCCACCCCACACUAUUCUCAGCAAGCCAGUAUUAGCCCUUCCUUCCCUUGGUGCUGAGGAUGUUUGACUUAGCAGUUAAUCUGGCUCCCAAAUGCUUCUGGGAAGGAUCUUCCUGGAUCUCCAGGCUGCGGCACCUUACGCGACUAACUCUGCAUAGGCCCUGGCCUCCUGACCACAGCCCAGUGGGCCCAGGAUAAAUUAGAUGCCUUCGAAUACCAGUGGGUCUCAGAUAAGGAGGAAAAAACCAGCUCGCAGCUUCAGACUGGUUCGUUUCUUACCUUCCCCUCCCCUGGUGCUUUAUUUUUAGGCAGGUUAGUGCGCCCUGCUCACACCACCUGCAUUUGGCAUUCGGUACAGUGUGGAGGUGUCACCAGAGAGGGUGCCUGCCCUCCCUUCCUUGCCUCGUUAUUGGUUCUCUCUCUCUCCCUCUCUCUCUCUCUCUCUCUCCUCUCUCUCUCCUCUCUCCCUCUCCCUCUCUCCCUCUCCCUCUCUCCUCUCUCUCCUCUCUCUCCUCUCUCUCCUCUCUCUCCUCUCUCCUCUCUCUCUGCUGGCUGGCUGGCUGUCUAGGCCUAUGUGUCACCACCUGGCACUUGCUCUCAUUGUCUUGUGCGAGUGCUUUUGCCAGCAGUUUGGAGUGCAGACCCAUCACCCCUCACUGGGGCCCCCCAUGAGGCCUGCCUGACUGCAUGCCCCACCCGGGCCCAUGGCAGCGCACCUGGAAGCGGACGGCUGAGGACUUGUUGCAGUGCAUGGAGAUGGGCGCGAAGCUGUACAGGGCCUUCAGUACGUCGCGGUUGAAGGAGUUCCAGGGAACAGAGGAUCCCGAAGCCCCCCUGCAAGUUGGAGGAGACCCGUCAGCCCCGGGCCAUGCCACGCAGACGCUGCCAUCCAGCAGCUUUCGCCGCACCCACGUGUACACUGCGUCCACUCGUCUGUUCACUGCACCGUGCCAGGCAUGCUCUGGGGAACCGAGUCCCUGCCCUCAAGGAAUUGCCACCAUUGGCAGGAGAGACAGGCAGUGAGUGAGUGAGUCAACCAGGAAAUUCGUAUCAGGUACUGAUGAUGCUGUGAGGAAAAAUGAAACGGGACAAGCGGAUGGGGUGUUAUUGUGCCCAUUUUAUGGGUACAGAAACUGAGUCUCAGAGCAGGCAAGGGGAUGCCCCGUGGUGGCCACAGCAUCGGUGGCACAGCCUGAGUGCACCCAGCGUCCCGGCCAUUGUCUGGAAGCUGUCCCCAUGACCUCCAGCGAGAGCCUGGAGCCAAGGACUGCAAGGGAGGCCCUUUCCACUGCAGCCCCGCACCGUCCACCAGUCAUUUCUCCAACGUGGCUCUGAGGGGAGCAGGGACUCUAUAAGACAGGACCGUGACUAGAGGCCGCGACAACCUCCAGCCUCUCACGGCAACCCUACGGCCUGCCAUCGCAUGGGAGGGGCAGGGCAGGCACCCUCUGAGUCCCCACUGCCAGCUUUAAGCCCCUCGCUGGGUUGCUGCUCUUGGAGCUGGUGACCGUGGAGCCUCAGCCAUAGGAGGAAGAACAGCAGCAGCUUGGAGGAGCUGGGGCUGGAGAGAGCAAAGCUCCCCCGGCAGCAGCUCAGAUCCCAGCAGGUCAGGGGCCGGGACAUGACGCCCUGGCCACCCUUGCCCCUCCAGGCUCCCCGCUGUUUGUGAAGCUGCUGUGGGCCUGGGGAUUUCAUCUGGCUGGUGGGGAAGAAAGGCAAUCUUUACUCUAUGGCAGAACAAAGGGACUGGGCAAAGCUUGGCGUGGCACUUACACCAGCUGCCGCCCCCUCCUCCCGUGCAGACAAAGAGCAUGGGACAGUUCUGCCCAGAGACGAAACCUGGCACCUGUUGGCCAGGACGCGUUUUUGCCAGCAUUGUUCUCUGGGCCGGAUUCCUCCUUUCCCAGCUUUUCUCAUCCAUCCCGCCCCCGUCAGAUCGGGACGAUUGCCCUCCUGUGUGAGUUCCUGUCCCUCCCCACCCUCUGCCACCACAGACAUCAAAAGGGAACUGAGUCCGACCCUGUGUAGAAUCUGUUCUCCUCUUUCACCUGGGGAAGGAAAUCGAAUUUCAAAGGCCACUGUGUCUUGGAUCAGCAGGCGAGGGCUUGUCAGAGUGUGAGAAGCUCAGGUCCACCUGGGGAGCUGCCCUCCCCUUUGAUCCCACCUGGUGCUGUGAUGUGGCCACUGCCAAGAGGACGACAUGGGCCAGGGAAGCCACAGAACUGCCCACGGGGACGCUGGCACCGAGGGCCUCAACCUGCAGAACGGCCAUCUGAGAUGUCCGCGGUGCUCACCAGGCCUGGCAGCCCCGAACGCCCUGGGACGUGGCGUCAGUUCCGCCGCCGUGAAGCCAGAUUGGGCAGGGAAUAUGCAGUCUCCUCGCUGGAUGCCCGGCAAGACCCUCCCAUCCCUGGCCCCGGGGCCGCGCCUGCAGAAUGGGGCUGAUGGUGGGGACUUGCCUGGGGUGCUCCACCUGCAGAGCCCUCUGUUUGCGAGCCCACUCAGUCACUGCACAGGUGCUUAGCCGAGAGGCGGCACAGUCGGGGUUGGCACCUGCACCCAUACCAGCCCUGCCUCCUGUUCGCUGUGUGGCCUGAGUGGCUGGACCUCACUGUAUCUCCUGGUGGGAUUGCUCAGAGGUCUCAGCAAGGCUUGGUGUGGUUAGGAUGAGUUAUUAGAGCAGUGCUGAGCUGUGGCAAGCACCCGACAUCAGCCACUGCUGUGAUAUACUGAGCACCUCCUCUAGAGAGAAUAAAGGACUGACAAAGCUGUCCUGUCUCCACCCUGAGUUUGUGAUCAGGAACCUAGGACACUUGUCACCUGAAAUCCAAGGGAGACAGGAAGGGUGGGGUAACAGCUGUGAGGCACAAGACCCUGGGUCAAAUCCCAGCUCAGCCAUCUAUCAGCUGUGUGACUUUGGUCAAGUGCCUGCCCUCUCUGAGCCUUUAUGUCUCACCUGUGAAAAUACAAACACUGGCUGGGUGCUAUGGCUCAUGCCUGUAAUCCCAGCAUGAGGGAUUACAUGAGGAGUUUGAGACCAGCCUGGCCAACAUGGUGAAAAUCCAUCUCUACUAAAAAUACAAAAAUUAGCCAGGCGUGGUGGUGGGUGCCUGUAGUCCCAGCUAUUCAGGAGGCUGAGGCAGGAGAAUCGGUUGAACUCGG